GUGGUAACUGUUGCAUAGGGGGUGAUGAUUGGUCAAGCCACCUGAAUAACAUCACCAUUUCUCAUUUGAGUAAACCCAGCAUGGGUCACAGACAGCAGAACAUUUUAUGAAGCUUCAUAAGCCAGCAUGGUACAAAUUCUCCAAGGAUUUUUCCUGCUAUCCCCAAGAAAGUAGUGAGAAGUAAUUCUGUUACCUGAGAGAAGAGAAAAAGAAGCUUUAGUACUAAUUCAAGCUGCUGCACUUACUUUAGUUGAGGCAAACUGCUCUACUGAAUUUCCUGGAAAGAGUUCGUUUUACUGUUUCCAAAGGAGACCUGAACCAUGCAGAAUCGUCUGUAGAACAGAAAAUGAUCUGUUUUUAAAAACUACCUACAGCUUAAGUACAUACUAGUUUCCUAGAGAAGAGAAGAGAAGAGAAGAGAAGAGAAGAGAAGAGAAGAGAAGAGAAGAGAAGAGAAGAGAAGAGAAGAGAAGAGAAGAGAAGAGAAGAGAAGAGAAGAGAAGAGAAGAGAAGAGAAGAGAAGAGAAGAGAAGAGAAGAGAAGAGAAAAAUAAAAAAUAAUAAAAAAGCGCCUUAGCUUACUCCUGGAUAAUGAAAACAUAGUUCAAAUCUAUCUAUAGGCAAGUGUAACUGUGCUACCAGGUCUUCAAAUUUACAUCAUUCUGAAAAAUGUAAUGGGUUUCUUAACACCAUGAGUGACUCUGCAGAUAUUUGGCACUAGGCUUAACAUUUUCAUAUUAAUUUUAAUAUUGUGUUGUCUUCAUUCUUUUGCUAUCAUUGUAAUCCCCUACUUCUGAAAUUCCAUGUUUCAAAGUCUACUUGAAAGUCUCAUUUCAGUUAGAAAAACAUUUUAUUUUUUCCACUGUAACUGGAUGAUGAACAAAUACUGCCAGUAUAAGGUUCUUGUUCUAUACUUGCAAAUGUCAAUAUCAUAGCACCAUCGUGAACAUCUUGCCUUCACUUCAUGAGCAAUUCAGGAGUUUUAC